GGCUUAUUGAUAAUAAUUUUAAGUCUAUCUGCCCAAUGAUUGAUUAAUUUAAUGGCUGCAGUAUAAUUGACUGUACAAAGGUAGCAUAAUCAAUUGUUUUUUAAUUGAAAACUAGAAUGAAAGAAUUAAUGAGAUAUAUACUGUCUCAUAUAUAUUUAAUUAAUUUAAAUUUUUAGUAAAAAUGCUUAAAUAAAUUUAUGGGACGAUAAGACCCUAUAGAAUUUUAUAUUGAUAUAUAGAUUAAUUUAUUUUAUAUAUUAAUAUUUAGUUGGGAGGAUUAAUAAAUUUAUAAAACUUUAUUUUAAAUUUUAACUUUGAUUUGAGAAUUAAUAAUGAUCUUGUAUUAUAAAUCAUAAGAAUAAAUUACCUUAGGGAUAACAGCGUAAUAUCUUUUUAAAGAUCAAAUUAAUAAAGAUGAUUGCGACCUCGAUGUUGAAUUAAGAUAAAUUUUAAGUGAAGAAAUUUAAUAAUUAAGUCUGUUCGACUUUUAAAAUCUUACAUGAUUUGAGUUCAAAUCGACGUGAGU
rnacentral:rRNA from 1 species